rnacentral:rRNA from 1 species
GUUACCGACAAAAGAAGCACCUGUCUAACUUCGUGCCAGCAGCGCGGUAAUACGAGGGUGCUAGCGUUAUCGAAUUACUGGUGCGUAUAGCGCACGCAGCGUUGAUUAAGUUAGAUGUGAAUCCUCGGGGCUUAACCUGGGAAUGGCAUCUAAGACUGGUCAGCUAGAGUCUUGUAGAGGGGGGUAGGAUUUCCAUGUGUAGCGGUGAAAUGCGUAGAGAUGUGGAGGAAUACCGGUGGCGAAGGCGGCCCCCUGGACAAAGACUGACGCUCAGGUGCGAAAGCGUGGGGAGCAAACAGGAUUAUAUACCCUGGUAGUCCACGCUGUAAACGAUGUCGAUUUGAAGGUUGUUCCCUAGAGGAGUGGCUUUCGGAGCUAACGCGUUAAAUCGACCGCCUGGGGAGUACGGCCGCAAGGUUAAAACUCAAAUGAAUUGACGGGGGCCCGCACAAGCGGUGGAGCAUGUGGUUUAAUUCGAUGCAACGCGAAGAACCUUACCUACUCUUGACAUCCAGAGAAUUUAGCAGAGAUGCUUUAGUGCCUUCGGGAACUCUGAGACAGGUGCUGCAUGGCUGUCGUCAGCUCGUGUUGUGAAAUGUUGGGUUAAGUCCCGCAACGAGCGCAACCCUUAUCCUUUGUUGCCAGCGAUUCGGUCGGGAACUCAAAGGAGACUGCCGGUGAUAAACCGGAGGAAGGUGGGGAUGACGUCAAGUCAUCAUGGCCCUUACGAGUAGGGCUACACACGUGCUACAAUGGCGUAUACAAAGAGAAGCGACCUCGCGAGAGCAAGCGGAACUCAUAAAGUACGUCGUAGUCCGGAUUGGAGUCUGCAACUCGACUCCAUGAAGUCGGAAUCGCUAGUAAUCGUAGAUCAGAAUGCUACGGUGAAUACGUUCCCGGGCCUUGUACACACCGCCCGUCACACCAUGGGAGUGGGUUGCAAAAGAAGUAGGUAGCUUAACCUUCGGGAGGGCGCUUACCACUUUGUAUUCAGACUGGGGGAAGUCGUUA